UUAAAUUGAAGAGUUUGAUCAUGGCUCAGAUUGAACGCUGGCGGCAGGCCUAACACAUGCAAGUCGAACGGUAACAGGAAGCAGCUUGCUGCUUCGCUGACGAGUGGCGGACGGGUGAGUAAUGUCUGGGAAACUGCCUGAUGGAGGGGGAUAACUACUGGAAACGGUGGCUAAUACCGCAUAACGUCGCAAGACCAAAGAGGGGGACCUUCGGGCCUCUUGCCAUCAGAUGUGCCCAGAUGGGAUUAGCUUGUUGGUGAGGUAACGGCUCACCAAGGCGACGAUCCCUAGCUGGUCUGAGAGGAUGACCAGCCACACUGGAACUGAGACACGGUCCAGACUCCUACGGGAGGCAGCAGUGGGGAAUAUUGCACAAUGGGCGCAAGCCUGAUGCAGCCAUGCCGCGUGUAUGAAGAAGGCCUUCGGGUUGUAAAGUACUUUCAGCGGGGAGGAAGGUGUUGUGGUUAAUAACCGCAGCAAUUGACGUUACCCGCAGAAGAAGCACCGGCUAACUCCGUGCCAGCAGCCGCGGUAAUACGGAGGGUGCAAGCGUUAAUCGGAAUUACUGGGCGUAAAGCGCACGCAGGCGGUCUGUCAAGUCGGAUGUGAAAUCCCCGGGCUCAACCUGGGAACUGCAUUCGAAACUGGCAGGCUUGAGUCUUGUAGAGGGGGGUAGAAUUCCAGGUGUAGCGGUGAAAUGCGUAGAGAUCUGGAGGAAUACCGGUGGCGAAGGCGGCCCCCUGGACAAAGACUGACGCUCAGGUGCGAAAGCGUGGGGAGCAAACAGGAUUAGAUACCCUGGUAGUCCACGCCGUAAACGAUGUCUACUUGGAGGUUGUGCCCUUGAGGCGUGGCUUCCGGAGCUAACGCGUUAAGUAGACCGCCUGGGGAGUACGGCCGCAAGGUUAAAACUCAAAUGAAUUGACGGGGGCCCGCACAAGCGGUGGAGCAUGUGGUUUAAUUCGAUGCAACGCGAAGAACCUUACCUGGUCUUGACAUCCACGGAAGUUUUCAGAGAUGAGAAUGUGCCUUCGGGAACCGUGAGACAGGUGCUGCAUGGCUGUCGUCAGCUCGUGUUGUGAAAUGUUGGGUUAAGUCCCGCAACGAGCGCAACCCUUAUCCUUUGUUGCCAGCGAUUAGGUCGGGAACUCAAAGGAGACUGCCAGUGAUAAACUGGAGGAAGGUGGGGAUGACGUCAAGUCAUCAUGGCCCUUACGACCAGGGCUACACACGUGCUACAAUGGCGCAUACAAAGAGAAGCGACCUCGCGAGAGCAAGCGGACCUCAUAAAGUGCGUCGUAGUCCGGAUUGGAGUCUGCAACUCGACUCCAUGAAGUCGGAAUCGCUAGUAAUCGUGGAUCAGAAUGCCACGGUGAAUACGUUCCCGGGCCUUGUACACACCGCCCGUCACACCAUGGGAGUGGGUUGCAAAAGAAGUAGGUAGCUUAACCUUCGGGAGGGCGCUUACCACUUUGUGAUUCAUGACUGGGGUGAAGUCGUAACAAGGUAACCGUAGGGGAACCUGCGGUUGGAUCACCUCCUUACCUUAAAGAA
rnacentral:rRNA from 1 species